GCUCCUGUUUUCCUAAUAGCAUGAACAGCCCCCCCGUCAGCUCCUACCCCUUGGUCUCUGACCUGUUCCUCCUCCGAGGUGACCUCUAUCCUGAAUUUUGAAAACAUAUUAGUAUUGCCUGUUUCUGGACUUUGUGCAGAUGAAGUCAUUGGUAUUUUAGAGAAAUAAGAUUUCUGUGGUUACCAUGACCUGCUGUUACAGAUUACAUGGUACCCUCUCUUCAUAUGUUGAAGUCCUAGCCACCCCGCCGAACCUCAGAAUGUGACUGUAUUUGGAGAUAGGGUCUUUACAGAGGAAAUCAAGUUAAAAUGAAGUCAUUAGGGCAGGCCCUAAUCCGAUAUGAUCCUGUGUUCUUAGAAGAGGAAAUGUGGACUCAGGUGUGUAUGGAGGGAAGAUGUCUUGCAAGCCCAAGGAGAAGAUGGCCAUCUGAGCCCACGUCCUGGAACAGAGACUUCCCUCACAGCCUCAGAAAGAACCAGCCCUGCUGACGUCUUGAUCUCAGACCUCCAGCCUCCAGAACUGGGAGACGAUUCAGUCAGCAUCUACACAACACAGGGUUGAACUGUGCGGGUCCACUUCUAUGCAGAUUAUUUUCUUUUUUCUUUUUUGAGACAGAGUCUCGCCCGGUUGCUCAGGCUGAAGUGUAGUGGUGUGAUCUUGGCUUACUGCAGCUUCCACCUCCCAGGUGCAAGUGAUUCUCCUGCCUCAGCUUCCCAAGUAGCUGGGACUAUGGGUACUCGCCACCACACCUGGCUAAUUUUUGUAUUUUUAGUAGAGAUGGGGUUUCACCAUGUUGGUCAGGCUGGUCUUGAACUCCUGACCCCAAGUGAUCUGCCUGCCUUGGCCUCCCAGAUUGCUGGGAUUACAGGUGUGAGCCACCGUGCCCGGCCCUAUAUAACUCUUUGUGCAAGUUUUUACCCCUAAAAGAUAUCUGCCAUCUCAGCCAUGGAACAGACACUGUAAGAACAUGAAGGCUCAAGGGCAGGGCUGGCUACAUAAUUUGUGGGACCCAUUACAAAAUGAACAUGGAGAAAAAACUAGAAAAAAGUGUAGUACAAGGUACUAUAAUAGAUUUUUCCUUUGAAAACAGUUUAAUACUUAUAAAAUGUAAUAGAGGGAAAUAGUGACACGUGAGUAACAAAAUGGGCGUAUCAAUUGGUCUAUGCUAUUUUUGGUGUUAUAAUUUUACCUAAUAUAAUAAGCAGCAACACUUUGUUAGUGAGACGGGCUUUCACCAUGUUGGCCAGGCUGGUCUGGAACUCCUGACCUCAGGUGAUCCGCCUGCCUCAGCCUUCCAAAGUGCUGGGAUUACAGGUGUGAGCCUCUGCGCCCGGCUGUGAUGUCUUGAUUGAUCAUAGGAUUUUUCUGGCUAUUCUAGCUACUUCCAAUUCGCUUCAGCCAAUUUAGUUGAAGUUUUAUCACUUGUGACUUCAGAGUCCUGGUUAAUAUCCUGUUGCCCUCAGGACAUGCAGGAUGGAGGAAGGCACCAGGGAGCCGAGGGAAGUGAGCAGAGAGGCAGUCACUUCAGGGCCACCAGCAUAGCCCCCGUCACUGUCCACAGACACAGGCCCUUCCCCUUCUCAUGGUUGAGCAGGCUCCACCUCACUUCCGUGUAUGACUUCAUAGACCGUUAGGUUCCGUGGUACCCUGGAGUCCACAGCUGCUGAAUCUGAAGGGCCAUCAGAAGACUGGCUUCUCCAUGAUGGUUUAUGGACUAAGGCAAAGAUGAGCAGAGCCAUGGCCCUCUUCUUUGUUCUCUGCUGGAUCCAAGUAGAGAUGGGAUUUCAUCAUGUUGGCCAGGCUGGUCAUGAACUCCUGACCUCAAUGGAUCCUCCUGCCUCAGCUUCCUGAGUAGCUGGGACCACAGGUGCACACCACCACGCCCAGAUGAAAUUGUGCUCCAAGUGUUUUCCAAGGUUCCGUAUGACCCAUCAUUUGAUGAAACAAGAACAGCAGUCAGAUCCAUUACAAAGAGAGACACACAAAAAAACUAUGUGAAAAUGAGCUUAGCCCCUGGUGUUGUGUUGGAACUUCAGAUGCUUGCAGACACUUCAUGAAUGCUCUGUGACACUCAGAAUAGGCUAUUCCCAACAGAAGAGCUUGAACAAUGCUGCAUUUGCAUCAGGUUCAAAUGAGCGAGAGGAACAUUUGGCUAAAAUAUUUGGAACCAGCAUUGCUUGGAAUUCUCCUAAACCAGAAUAUUUCCUUGGCAGUGUGGACAAAAUUCCUGAUAAAGAUCACCUUUCAGAGGAGAAGAAUUUUAAAGAAUCCUGUCUGUUCGACAGGGAUUUAAGAGAGCAGUUAACUACUAUAGAUAAAGAAACACUUCAAGGAGCAGCUAAACCAGAUCUCCUCUGGCAAACACGACAUAUAAUAUUUUUAUAAUGGAUGGAAAGACAUGGUGGCACAAUUCUGAAGAAAAAAAUUUCACAAAACUUGCAAAAAAACAGAAACAGUUGAAGAGCAGCUCCUGUGUCUAAGCCAGGUCGUGGGGCCGUCAAACCAGGACUUGAAACCACAAUGCGAGGACAUUCUCCAUCUGCGCACCACAGGGAGGCAAUUCCAUUUCUGCCCGGGAGGUGUAUUCUACAAAAACGUCUGCUUCCCAUCCCAAUUUGAAUGGACCAAGAAAAACUGCUUUACCAUAGGACACUUGUGGCAAUAUGGCACCGAUGGCUGGCGUCGGUGAACCCGACAGACUAUGGAUUUAUCAUUUAAUAAAGCAUUGAUUCAUUUUUUCAGUCAUUCAUUGAACAGAUAUUAAUAGACCACCUCACAUGCUGACAAUAUCAAAAUACAAUGAGGAAACUAACAGUGACCCAGGCAUGCAUUCUUCCCCGAGCAAGAUCACAGUCCAUGGUGUGAGCACAACCAUACUAAAUAGCUUUUAUGGGAGGUGGGAGUACAGAAAGUAUUAUAUCUGCAAAGAAACUGCUAAGAAUUGUGGGAGCGCCCCAGGAGGUGAUUUCCUGCUUGCGUGACCAGCACAAAGAAAUGGGGUAAUUGAGAGUGUCAUGAAGUGGGGUUAUUUAUUUAUUGAGUC
rnacentral:lncRNA from 10 species